AUUUAGCAUUUUUCUUCCUUCGUUGAGGCAUUAGGACACACUGCUUUCAGAUGUAUUCUCAUUACAUCCUGUCGCACCACAAGAAAUCCUCAUUCCCUGAUAUUGCCAGCUACCUUCUUCUUUUUGGAGAAACUCUUUAAAUAAGUUACAUAUACUUCUGUCUUUGUUUUCUUCUUGUGUUCUCUUAUACUUAUUUCAAUUAAGUUUAAGCUCUGCUCUCUUUUUUAAAGUUUAUAAAGUGGUGUGUGCGUGCGUGUGUGUGUGUGUGCGUGCACUCACAUGCUCCCUUGUGUGAAGGUCAGAGGACAGCUUUGGUGAGUUGGUUUUCUCCUACUUCAUUGAGGUAGGAUCGCCCAUUGUUACUGUUGCCUGCCUAUUCGAGCCUAGGUAGGCUGUAAGGUUCUGUGUAAUUCUUUAUCUAGUUAUUCUGUUUUUCUAUCCUUGAUACCAGCCAGCUUCAGCACAGUGGCCCAAAGAACCCCUUCAAAAUUUUGCCAUGACUUCUGAUUUAACUUUAAAUUAACAACAAAAAAAUGUAUUUCGUGUAUUAAUCUAGCCUCCUUUUACCUCGGGUUGCCUCCUGUUUUUAUGUAUUUGUUUAUUUUUUAUUCAAUUCAAUCUAUUCCAGCUAUACCAACUUGAUUCUGUUUUCUCAAAAAUGCCCACCAUUUUCCAGCUUCUUAUCCACAUACGCCAUCCCCCCAGAAACCCUCCAGUACGUUAGAGUUCACCUUCAAGUAAAGCCCACCUAAUUAUCUCGUUUAAUAGGGUAACGUAUGAACGCCACCGCAGAGCCGUUGUCUGUGAUCCUUCUUCCUUGGGCCACUCUUUUUUUUUUUUUUUUUAAUAGUAUUUGAUCCAUGAGUAAAUAGGUCUCUGUAAUAUGCUCAUUGAAAGUGAUUUGCCACCCCUACCCCUUGUCUCUGUCUCCUACAUGCUGGGAUUAAAGGUGGGCACCACCAAGCAGGCUCUGGGAAACUUUACAUCUUUGUGACAGUGUAUUUAGUAGUACUUGGUUGUAAUGCCAAAGGGAAUUCCAUCUUUGAAAAGUUUUUACUUAAAGUUAUAAACCAUGGAACUGGCAAAAUUGCUCAAGGGGUUCUUGUGCCUAGCCUGAGGACUAGAAUGAGCAUGGUAGAAGAGAAAGGACAACUCCCCACUUGACCUCUGACCUUUACAUUUGUGCCUUGUAAUCACACAUGUGUAUGUAUACAAAUAAAUUUAAGAUGUUUGAAAAUUUCAUAAAUUAGAAGUGGUGUGUGAGAGCAUCCUCCCUUGAUCCCAGCACUGGGGCCAGAGUCAAGUAAAGCUAACCUGGUCUACAUAGUGAGACCUUUGCCUCAAACAAAACAUACUCCCCAAAUAAUAAUUAUAAACAACAUACUGAUCACUCACAAGGACUUUUAUAGACUCUGUAUAUUUAUAACAUUCCAAUUAACUAAAAUUCUUGUUGAAAAAAAACCUAAUAAAUGAAAAGCAUGUAUUUAACUUUUGAAAUUAAAAUGUUCUUUGCUGCUUUUUACUUUUACAGUUCUCAUUAAACAUCUGCUUAACAGAUUGUUGUAAGAUCAGUGUGUAAUAAGAAUUUGUUCUUACUCCUGGUGAGAUUUCUCAGUGGUUAAGAACACUAGCUGUUCUUCAAAAAAAAAAAUCCAGGUUCUCUUCGUACAUCUGCAUGAUAGCCGUCAACUGUUUGAAACCAGUUUCAGAGAAUACAACACCCUCUUCUGGGUGACAUACAUGCAGACAGAGCAGGCAUACAUAUAAAAUAAAUAUACACACACAUACAAUUUGUUUUAAAAAACAAUUUGUUCUGAGAAAGUAUGUACCUUUGCCAUUCUUAACGUUUAAACCUUGGGGGACUGGAGAGAUGGCUCAGCAGGUAGAGUGCGUACUGCUGUUUGGUUUCCAGGACGCUCAUCAGUAGCCUCACAGCUUACUGUAGUUGCAGCUCCAAGAGAUCUAGGAGAUCGAUGCCCUCUGCUGGCUGCCAUAGGCUUUGUGCUUAUGUGUAUUUAUAUGCACGUACAUACACACAGGAAGGAGAAUCAAUUUUUUAAAACUUUUUUCUAUAAAAAAAAAUUAUUCUUUUUAUUUGUAUAUAGUUGAGAUUAACAGUUGCCAUCUUUAAAUCUUCAGGUUUUGAAAUUGGUCUUAAUUUUCAAAAAAUAACCCAGUAGUUUGAGGAAGUAGUGUCCAGCAGGAGGAAAAAGAAGCUUUCUCAAAGCCUGCUAAAGUUCUCAGAGUUGGGAGCAUAGAACUUGGACACCAAUGUGAAAACUUGAGAAUUGCUACAAUUAGUGUCUUAUAAGUUGCUGUAGUCACAUGGCAAGGUUUGACUCUCGGUGUUUAGUUUCAUUGAAUGCUUUAAUGUAACGAACAAGAGCUGAUUUCCUACAAUUGAGGCCUUAUUUCUUCUGAAGGAUGUAUUGUUUUUACAACCCACUAUUGUAAAGUACCAGCUGUGUCAGCAGGCAAACAAGGUGACAAGUAUUUUAUAGGCAAAGAAAAUAUUUACCUUAGCUGUGGUUUGAAGGUGCGCUUUCAGACACCUGCUAACUUGAUGUCUUUAAAACCCCAAAUAUGUUGUGUCUUUAUAUUUAAAUUUCAGAGGGAUUGUUCUUGGGGAUCCAGGAGAGUCUCCUUAGGAACUCUGAAAUAAUCCGUCUGGAAUGGGUGCAAUUCAUCUGUGGCUGGAUUUGUUGAGUGUGCAUGUCAUGUACUGUAGUCAGGUGAAACACAUGCCUUUAUGUCCUCCCUUGCAGGAAGAUACGUUUCAGCAGUAUGUGAGGCCAGAAGUCAAUGAUCAGCUUUCAGAGUUCUGCAUCGGUCUUACUGGAAUCACUCAGGUGAGUAUUCUCUUUUCAUUUCUGUUGAUUGUGGUUAUUUUGAAUUUGAAAAUUUUAAAUCAGUGGUUUCCUUUGUAGAUAGUUUAAAAAAUAUUAUUAUAAACAAUUUAAUGUGCUGUUUUCCUUAUUUUGUAAAAGUCUUUCAUACUGUAAUUAAAAUAACAACAGCAAAAAGAGAUGGUUCAGUGGUUAAGAUCACUGGCUCUUCUUCCAGAGAAUGUGUGGGUUUGAUUCCCAGCACCCAUGUGGUGGCUCACAAUCCAGACCCAGGAUCCAAUGCCCUUUUCUGCCCUCCAUAGGCACUAAAUAUGCACAUAGUACAUAUGAAAGCAGGUUAUUCAUACAUACAAAUUUUAAAAAGAAUUAAAAAAAACAGUAAAUUAUGUUACAGUAAUAUAAUAAUG
rnacentral:lncRNA from 1 species